CAUAGUUAAAAAGCUCCCAUUUUCAAACCAAAUCCAAACCCUAAACUGCGCCUCUCCCAAUUUCUUCUUCUUGGUACUCUUUGUUAGUUCGUCACAUGAUAGGCUCUUUUGUCUCGGUUUACUUAAGAUGGUAGAUUAAGAGAUGAUUCCAAGUUUAGGGUUCAUUGAACAAAGAAAGCGGCGGUGGUUUAGGGUUUUAGCAGAGCAAAAACAUAGAAAAGGAGGAAGUAGGUAGGCAUGGUGAAGCUCAUGGCAGACUUGAUUUGGAAGUGUCCUCACUUCUUCAAUGCCCUCAAGGAGCGAGAAUUGGAUCUUCGAGGUAACAAAAUUGCUGUAAUCGAAAACUUGGGUGCUACCGAGGACCAAUUCGAUACCAUAGAUAUUUAUCUGACAAUGAGAUUGUGAAGCUGGACAGUGUCCCUUAUCUUAAACGCUUGGGUACUUUACUUAUAAACAACAACCGAGUUACUCGUAUCAAUCCCAAUAUUGGGGAGUUCUUGCCAAGUUUACAUACGUUGGUUCUCACAAAUAACCGGCUGGUGAACUUAGUGAAGAUUGACCCUCUUUCAUCACUCCCUAAGCUCAGCAAGUGUAGGUUCACGUAAUGCUGUUAUGUGGUGACUGAUUGAGAAUUAGAUAAUCGAUGGAACACUAUUAGAUGUUAGAAUGAAACUUCUUACGUGCCAAACAUACAUGGAUAAAGAAGGUAUCAGGCAGCAGUAGUUGUUGGCAUUUAUCCCAAGACAUCACAAGCACUACAUUUUACCGAGUCCAGUCUACAUCUAAUGGAGCUGAUUCCACUCUAUCAAACCCCCUAUGAGAGGAGUCUGCUCAAAAUUCUUCAAUAUACUCUAACAAACAGAGCAUACAUCCACCACUUGCCUUUGGCCCAUCGCCUAACCUUGAAGCCCUUACAAUUGAAGCAGAUAAGUCUAAAGAUCAAGAUGGAGAUAGUUAUUUACUUGAUAGUUCACAUCUUUUCCGGUAUUUAACUAUUUAUUUAUGCCUUAACAUGUCCUUAGGUAAGGGCUGAUUGUUUAUACAAAAAUUUUGGUUAAGUUAGUGGUAGUUUGGUUUUUUUGGACUUGAUCAUCAUAUAUUUUUUGAAUAUUAUGUAUUGGAUCUUUAAAUCUUUUAUUAGAGUUAUCCUUCUAUAGCAGAGGCUUAAGUCUUUGUUUUGAACAGGUAAGUCCAUGGAACAAUUUUUUAUCCUUGUAGUCCAUGUUUUAUUUUGAUUUUUCUGUGAUUAAACUCUAGUACUCAGGGCAGUAGUUGUUGGGAUGUAAAAUCUAUUGUCUAUCUGCCUAAAUAUAUGACAAAAUGUAGAAGUACAUAUUGGAGAUACUCUCACAUGCACAUUCAUUCGUUUGAAACACAAUAUCUAGUUAUUUGUCUUUGAACUGAGUUAGAUUUUUACAUGCUUAUGUAGGAACACAUGCCCUAUGCCCUAUUUUCGUUUAAGGACCGCCAAGGAAAUUCUGAAACAGAAAGCUGAUUGAUCGGAUGUGUAUGCCGGCUUUCAUCAACUACUUUCGAAGGCCUUACUAGGAAUUGAAAUGGUGUGCAAAGAGAUUGCUUCUUCUGAUCUGAUUUUUCGAUAUAAAUACUGGACAAAGUAUGGAUAUUUCUUGUAAGUUGCAUUUACUACUGUUAGUAAAAUAGGAUUCGCUUCUUAGGAUCUUAGUUUCUUCACUUGUAUUAGACUCAACAAUGGCUUGCAUUGCAUUGGUGUUGAUUUUACCUAAAUUUCGAGGUUUACAAUUUUUAGUUUUUAUUAA